UAAUGGUAAAUUAAAAGAUUGUAUCGAAGUAUGUCAAGUCGGAGCAUCGAAUCAUGAAGUCAUGUGGAAUUGUGUUAUGGAUUGCCAUCGAGCGGCUACAUGUGGUGGAUUUAAAUUACCAAAUGUUAAUGCCUGCCUAGUUUACUGUAAUAUGCGU